GACGAACGCUGGCGGCGUGCUUAACACAUGCAAGUCGAACGGAAAGGCCCUGCUUUUGUUGCGCGCUCGAGUGGCGAACGGGUGAGUAACACGUGAGUAACCUGCACCUGUCUUUGGGAUAACUUCAGGAGACUGGGGCUAUUACAGGGUAGGAGCUCCUGAUGCAUGGGGGUGGAUGGAGAGAGUCGGCGGUGGGGGAUGGUCGCGCGGCUUAUCAGCUGGUUGGUGGGGUAGUGGCUUACCAAGUCUUUGACGGGUAGCCGGCCUGGGAGGGUGACCGGCCACAUGGGGACUAAGAUACGGCCCAGACUCCAACGGUAGGCAGCAGGGGGAAAUAUGGCAGAAUGGGCGGAAGCCUGAGGCGGCAACGCCGGGUGCGGGAUACCGGCCUUCGGGGGGUAAACCGCUUUCGCCGGUGACGAGGCGUGAGUGACGGUAAUUGGUAAAGAAGCACCGGCUAACUACGUG
rnacentral:rRNA from 1 species